UUACUCUGGUUUUCCUUCAAUACACGCUUAAAUCUUUCGCCUUUUACUAAAGAUUUCCGUGGAAGAGAACAAUUGAUGAGUCUAUACUCAAUUUUUUGUGUGCCUGGCGUAAGCCGGGUC
rnacentral:snRNA from 1 species